GGCAGUUUUCAGGUGACACACCCUGGAACUGGGAUCCCUCCUCUCUGGUUCUGGGUGUGUCACCCGAGAACCGCA
rfam:Myotis davidii contig49694, whole genome shotgun sequence.